AUGGAGAAGGGGAAGAUGGUGCCUGGCUUGAUGGCUAGCAACAGGAAGCCUGCUAGAAGCAACAUGGUACUGCGAGGUCAUGAUGGCUCAAUCAUCUUCACAGCCUACAGGGAGUUACAUGCCCGCGAGUGUGCGCUUGAGGUGGAGCUGGAGGCUUGCCGUGAGGGGCUGGAGCUUGCGAUUCACAGGACUCCGGUGUCGCUAGUGGUUGAGCUGGACUGCUCGGAGGCAGUGGCGAUGAUCAAUGCGACAUCCGGUGACCGCUCGAGGUACAUGGUGCACGUGCGAGAUAUCUAUGAUCACUGGUGA
rnacentral:rRNA from 1 species